UACGUAGGUGGCGAGCGUUGUCCGGAUUUACUGGGCGUAAAGGGCGUGCAGGCGGUUUGUUAAGUGCAGGGUGAAAGCUCCCGGCUCAACUGGGAGAGGUCCUUGCAUACUGGCGAACUCGAGGGAGGCAGAGGAAAGUGGAAUUCCCGGUGUAGUGGUGAUAUGCGUAGAUAUCGGGAGGAACACCUGUGGCGAAGGCGGCUUUCUGGACGACAACUGACGCUGAGACGCGAAAGCGUGGGGAGCAAACAGG
rnacentral:rRNA from 1 species